rnacentral:rRNA from 1 species
CUGCGGCCUAUCAGGUAGUUGGUGGGGUAAAGGCCUACCAAGCCUGCGACGGGUAGCCGGACUGAGAGGUCGACCGGCCACACUGGAACUGAGACACGGUCCAGACUCCUACGGGAGGCAGCAGUGGGGAAUAUUGCACAAUGGGGGAAACCCUGAUGCAGCGACGCCGCGUGGAGGAUGACGGCCUUCGGGUUGUAAACUCCUUUUGUCAGGGACAAUGGUGAUGGUACCUGACGAAUAAGCCACGGCUAACUCUGUGCCAGCAGCCGCGGUAAGACAGAGGUGGCGAGCGUUGUUCGGAAUUACUGGGCUUAAAGGGCGCGUAGGCGGUGGUGUAAGUCUGGGGUGGAAUGCUACAGCUCAACUGUAGAGCUGCCUUGGAAACUGCAUUACUUGAGUCGGUGAGGGGAAGGCGGAAUUCCUGGUGUAGCGGUGAAAUGCGUAGAUAUCAGGAGGAAGGUCUGUGGCGAAGGCGGCCUUCUGGCACUUGACUGACGCUGAGGCGCGAAAGCGUGGGGAGCAAACAGGAUUAGAUACCCUGGUAGUCCACGCCCUAAACGGUGGGUAUUAGGUGUGGGGCCUUCAUGGGUUCCGUGCCGUAGCGAAAGCA